AGAACUAAGCUCAACUUGCGAGGGAUAGUGGUCAAAGAGCGUUGAGUAGCUGCCAAAGAGAUGACCAAAGGGAAGAGAAAGAGAGAGAGAAAAAGAUAAAGAAGAGAUAAAAAAAGAGAUAGGGUGAAAUAGAAGAGGAAGGCUCGUUAAAGAUAGGAGGGUCGAAUAAGCUCGUCUGAGGGUGGUGGUAUCGGAGUGGGGCGAUGAGUUGAUUUGGUGGGGGAAGACGAAUGAAGGAAGCGCAGUACCGGUGCGUGCGGUGAAGAGACAUCGCACGGAGUGGGGAGAAAGCACACAGCUGGGUCGAAGGCGGCGAAUAGUGGGGGAAGUCGUUGUCCUCGGUAUCUUUACGCGAGUCACGAGAGCGGCUCGUCAGUUCGACGCGGAACGCGUUGCUAUUCGUAUCGUUGUGUUUUUGACGUUUCUUUCUCCCUCUUUAUUUCUUCAUCUCUCUCUCUUUCUCUCUCUCUUUCUCUCUGUCUUUCUCUCACCUCUCAUCGCGCUCUAUCACAUUCUCACCCUCUCUCUACAACACAGUUUAUAUAUCGCUCGGUCUCCUCUCUGUUUCCUUCCAGUUCCCCGGUUUCUUUGUUUCUCUCGUUUUCGCGAGGGAUAGUCACACACGCACUCACUCACUCGGAGGGCCGCUCCUGUGACACGUAAUGGUGCGCGCGAUUCAUAUCGGAGCGAACGCACUGUAACGCGAGGAACGCUCCGCCCUAUGAACGUCGAGAGAGUCCAGUAUCAAGAAGGAAAGGACGCCUGUGGCAACAACUGUGGUUUCGUUUUCCUAAGUUGUUGCCGCCGCCGCUGCUACUGUUGCUGUUGCUGUUGCUGCCGUUGCUGCCGUUGCUGCCGUUGCUGCAUCUUGCGUUGAUAUCGCGGAGCAGUUGAUCUUCGAGAGUACCUAAGCAGAAAGAAGAAGAAGAAGAAGGAGAAAAAGGAGAAGAAGAAGAAGAAGAAGAAGAAGAAGAAGCAACAGAAGAAGCAGAAGAAGAAGAAGGAUAGAACCGGUUGAAAAAGACGUUCUAGGUGGAAGAAAGGAAAAGGAGAAGGAGGAGUAGGAGGAGUGAAGGGGAGAGAAAGAAGAAGGAUCGAAAGGUUGAGCGACCCUGAAAGGGGUAGGAGAAGGUGGACGAAGUGGAGGAGGAGGAAGCGGAGGCGGAAGGAGGAGUAGGAGAAGAAGAGGAGGAGGAGAAGGAGGAGGAGGUGAAGAAGAGGAAGAAGAAGAAGCAGUGGUGAGGCGAGGAGAAGGAGAAAGAGGAGAUGAGCUCGGUGGGUGACUCGACAAGUGCGGUGCUCGGCUGCUCGACGAAAGGCGGCAGAUAGCGCCAUUAGAAGAAAAGACCGACGCGUUGCUGGUACGAGAAACGCGAUGCCGAGCCGUUGCUCCGCGGCCCUGGCCCAAGAGGAGGGGGAGGAAGAGGAAGAGGAGGAGGAGGAAGAGGAAGAGGGAGAGGACGAGGCCCACAGGCCCCGUCGACGUCGUCGACGAAGAAGAAGAUCCUAUUGCUACCACCUCUUCUUCACCGUUCCUCUUGUCUUCUUCCUUUCGUCUCUUUCGAUCGCGGAUGCUUUGCCGUUUCAUCCUGUGCCGACGCACAAAGGGAUAACACGUAGAUCAUACAUCAGAUACUACGAGCCAGCAUCUUAUGACACGGUGGCAUUGAGACGUCAUCGUGACAGGACGCGUCGCGACGUUUCCGAUUCUAUCGAAAAUCAACCUCUACUUUUACGCUUGAAAGCAUUGGAUAGAUCGUGGACAAUACGAUUGAUUCGCGACGACACUAUCUUCAGUAAGGACGUAACGUUCGAAGGCACUCAUGGCUCUAUACCAUUCGACGCUUCACAUUCAUAUACUGGCACCGUCCUUGAGGAUGAAAACGCAGUGGUACAGGGUGUGGUGACAACCGAUGGACUCUUCGAUGGUACGAUCGCGACCAAGUUCGAAGAGUUUUAUAUCGAACCAACUGCAAGAUAUCUGGAUGAGAACGAAGACACGUCUCCAACCUACCAUAGCAUCGCUUAUCGUACAUCCGAUGUAACCGUGCCUCCGCAUCCAUUGCCGUGUGCGAGUCAUCAAUUACACGAAGGCUCUCUUCGAGACAUAUUUGAUAGAGGCAAGACUUACAACGAUAGUUCAGAAGGAUUUUACGAGCCCUUGUUGGAUAAUAAAAUUGGUCUCUAUUCGAGAGAAAGCCAUGGGAGAAUAUUGAAUUUGGAAACGAAGUACGAAGCUCGUUACUAUGACAGAUCUAGUGGAGAUCGAAUAGCCAGACAUUUACAUAAACGUGCGACAGUCGAUCCACGAAAAACAACUUGCAUGCUUUACUUGCAAGCUGAUCAUCAGUUUUUCGCUAGAUACGGCACGGAAGAAGCUUGCAUCGAAGUGAUGACGAGGCAUGUACAGAAGGUCAACUCCAUAUACAAACACACGGAUUUCAAUCAGGAUGGUAGACCGGAUAACAUCAGUUUCAUGAUAAAACGUGUGAAAGUUCAUAGCGAGGACGCUUUGAGGGAUCUCAAUUAUCGAUUUCCGGGUAAUUACGGUGUCGAGAAAUAUCUUGAAUUAUUUUCCGAGGAGGAUUACGAUGCAUUUUGUUUGGCUUACAUGUUCACGUAUCGGGACUUUGAAAUGGGAACGUUAGGUCUAGCUUGGACCGGAGAUUUGAAGAACGCUGGAGGAGUUUGCGAAAAGAACGGGCAUUAUCGUGGUAGCAUGAAGUCCUUGAAUACUGGAAUAGUGACCCUGCUGAACUACGGAAAGCACGUUCCACCCGCGGUAUCUCACGUCACAUUGGCACACGAGAUCGGUCACAACUUUGGUUCGCCGCAUGAUCCGGAACAAUGCACACCGGGCGGUGAAGAUGGAAAUUUCAUAAUGUUCGCCCGUGCAACCAGCGGCGACAAGCGUAACAACAAUCGCUUUAGUCCGUGUAGUUUGAACGCCAUAAAUCCUGUGCUCAACAGUAAGGCUCGUUCACCAAAAGGCUGUUUCACAGAACCACAAGUAUCAUUGUGCGGAAACGGAGUCGUCGAGGACGGCGAGGAAUGCGAUUGUGGAUGGGAAGAAGAUUGUAGAGAUACUUGUUGUUUCCCUCAACGUCGUUAUCCACCAACAGAAGAGACCCCAUGUACACUUACGCCACGUUCAGUGUGCAGUCCUAGUCAAGGUCCAUGCUGUACAGCUGAAUGCAAUCUCAGGUUUGGUGAUAAGUGUAGAGAUGAUAAUGGUUGUCGCGAUGCUAGCUUCUGCGACGGUAGAUCACCCUAUUGUCCACCUUCAAUCAAUAAACCCAAUAAAACUAUUUGCAAUCGUGAAUUAGUUUGCUUCAUGGGCGAAUGCACCGGAAGCAUCUGUCUUGCAUAUGGAUUAGAAUCCUGUCAAUGUAUUCCUGGUCCUAAUGAUCCUCCAACUAAAGCUUGCGAACUCUGUUGUCGUUUACCGGGUGAAAAUCAACCAUGUCUAUCAUCCUUCGAUUGGAAUUCACCACCGUAUGAUAUUCCGGAUAUGUUCUCUAAACCUGGAACACCGUGUAAUGAUUAUAACGGUUACUGCGACGUCUUUCAAAAGUGUAGAGAAGUUGAUCCGAGUGGCCCAUUAGCAACUUUAAGAAAACUUUUAUUGUCCGAUGAAAGCCUCGCGACUGUACGUCGUUGGGUAGCCGAUCAUUGGUACGCAGCGGCUCUUAUCAUUUUAGGAGCUAUAUCUUUAUUGGUUGUCAGUAUGAGGCUCCUAGGCAAGCGACCGGAUCAGAAACUCAAAUCGGUGACAAUAAUCCACAGCUCGACGACGGAAACGGUACGGUUGCCGCCGGAAGGUGCGGAGGGAGUGACGGUUCAUCCGGCAGCCGUUCGUGCAAAGCUUCCACUGAGCAGGAAAGUGAGAGAGAAGAGAAGACACCGGAAGCAUAAGGACACGCAUGCUGCUUCGGUCGAUAAAUCAAACAAGGAUAUUUUAAAGAAAAAGAAACAAAUGUCGAACCGGAGAUCCUCGACAGUACCGGCCGAGGAAGUUGCCCAACGGAAACGACCAACGGAAACGUCAAAUGCAACGACUGCUACCGUUACCACUGCUACUGCAGCAGCAGCGGCGGCAGCGGCAGCAGCAGCAGCAACAGCGGCGGCCGUAAUGCAAGAUAACAAACGUAAGAAGACUUCAAACUCGAGGGAGAAGCAAAAUUUAUGUAACAAUCUACCCGGUAAUUCAGAGUUAGAUAAACGUAAGCGGAAGAAGCAACAUAGAAAGGAAGUCAUUGAUUAUUCUGCAAUACAAGCGGAAAAAGAAGCCGAACCGAAUGCCGAUCCCAAGAACAAAGUACGAUCUUGGUUAUUAGCUUCGUCUCAGUGUAGAUUAGAGAGUACAAGAACGUCCAGUGGUUUACCAAAAAGCAAAUCGACGCCUGUAGGAUUGACGGCCGGUAGUGGUAACGUUACUGGUGCAACAAGAUUAGCUCAAUCAAGGCAAACCGGUGUUCCAAGAAGAACUCUGGACUCGAGAGAGGUCAAAAGUUCGCCAGGUACUUUAGCUAGGAAGGAACGAGCGAGACUUCAAGUUGUCUAUAAGCCGCCCUUCAAGUUUAGCGUGAAAUUACGUAAGGCCGAUAAAGUGGCUCAAGUGCCACCGCCGGCGCCAACUUCGGCGCACAAUAAUCUCACCAGAUCCACGAAAUUGCCGAGAACCGGUGUGUUACUUAAAACUAAGAGAAGAGACAGAGUUAGAAUCGGUAGAGCCAGACAGAUAGCCCCUACUGGAAUAGGAAACGAUAGUGGAGAUUUGCCAGAGCCUGCUAAUUCGGAUCUACAUACGGUACCCUCAGAUUUAGAGGUUCUGCUCUCUGAAAGCGAAUUUCUAUUCUCGGACACGUGACCCCAAAAAUCGAUAAUAAUUUAUCUCUAAAAAUUACUCGCGUCCACCUACCCACUCAUCACUCUCCUCCAUUACUCAGCAAAAGAAAAUUUCUCAUUUUCUUCUUCAAUAUCUUCAUCAAUAGUAUUAAACACCAAGCCAAGAAAAAAUUUCUUCUUUCAUAAAAAGGGGCCAAAUCUACCUUUAAAAAGACUAGAAGAAAUAUAUAUCGAUGGAGUUGAAUGAUUAAGAAAAGAGAAAAUAAAGAAGAAGAAGAAAGGAAAAAGUUAUAAACAAAAACAAAGAAGCGAAAAAGAAGAGGAAAAGUUGUAAAACUAUGCCAGAGUGUUCGUUUAUUUGCAGUUUGUAUUUCAGGAAAAGAAAGAGAGAGAGAGAGAGAGAGCGAGAGAAAGAAGAGAGAGAGAGAGAGAGAGAGAGAGAGAGAGAGAGAGAGAGAGAGAGAGCAUAUGUAAAUCUCUCCAUUAUAUAAUAUUCGUUUAUAUACGAAAUGAAGCGUUGCCUAUAAAGACAAAAGAUAAACCCUUCCUCUUAAAAAAAAAAAAAAAAAAAAAAAAAUGAAAAGAAAAAAGAAAUGAAAAUGAGGUGUAAUUUGCUACGUAUUCUUUUUUAUAUCGUCGAUAACGUAAGCAUUUUUCGAUACUACCGAUAAACUAUCGCGAUUGUCAUGAUUAAAAGAACAAAAAAAUAGGGGAAUUAUUAUAAUAAUGAUAAUAAUAAUAAUAAUUCUUUUUUUUUUCUUUAUUUCUUUUUUGCUCGUAAUUUCUUUUCCUUUUUUUUUUUUUUUUUUUUUUUUUUUUUUUUUUUUUUUUUUUUUUUGUAACAGCGACUGUGACUGUCCAAGACUGUUUCCUAUUCGAAAGCAUUUUCUAUCGAUUUUUUAUCGAACUAUCCUCAAACUGCCUAAGUAGUUGUUUCGAUGGAGUUUUCCUAAUGGUUCCUAUUAAUCAGCGAAAUAUCUGAUAACUUCGAACAAUAGCUUUGCGCCGAUGAUGAUGAUGAUAAUGAUGAUUUGCUCGUUCUCGUUCCAAUUGUCAGAUUGUCUCAAAAUUCGAGAUAAACCUUUUUUAUGUUUGCUCGGUCUAAGUUUCGUAUCGAACUUUUUUUCUUUUUUUCUUUUUUCUUAUUUUUUUUUUUUUAUAUACCGAGUAAGUGAAAGGUAUAUAGGAAAUUUGGGACGAUCAUUGCUUUUACAUAUCGAGAUAUACAUAUUAUUCUAUAAACUAUAUCUACGUUUAGCAAACUUGUUUUAUUCAGUCCAGUGACUUCCAUUUUUAUAAAAACACACAAGAUAUAUAUAUAUAUAUAUAUAUAUAUAUAUAUAUCAGAUGUAUUGAAGUUAAAACUUAUUAGCUAGAAAAAAAUUUACAAUCAAAUAUGAUAUAAUUCGUUCUCACCGACAUAUUACCGUAUUUUAUUAGGGUGCUAAUAAUAAUUAUUAAAAGUAAAAAAAAAAAAAAAAUAAUUUUGCUUUAAUUAUAUUACUUAUAUGUAUUUCGUGUGCUUUCAAAUAUUUCAUCGGAGGAGGAUGAUUUACGAGAAACUUAAUUUAUAUUGAGGAAGAACGAAUAUCGAAUGUUUGUUAAUACUUAAGUUUACUGACGUUUUAACUGUAAUUCAUUUCAUUCAACUAAUUUUUUUUUGAUUUCGUUAUUCGAGAAAAGCACAUAAAUUGUGCCGCAAUUUGUGCGCGAUCGUUACUUUAUACAUAUGUAGGGGAAGAAAAAAAGAAGACAUACAUACUUACAUACACACACACACACACACACACACAUGCACACACGCACGCACGUACGUACGUGCAUACGGGUUUAUAAGAGAAUGUCUCGUUUAAAGUGAUCGAGAGGAUAUAUAGAAUAGAUCUAAUGUUCCUUUGAUGAUAUUAAAAAUCAAUUGCUCUUUUUCGAGAGACUUUAAAGAACAAAUUCUUUUUUUUUUUUUUUUUUUUUUUUUUUGUCAAAUUGUAAAACUGCAAGUACAGCUUGUUGAACUAUCAAUCUAACUACAAUCCUAAUCUUGAAAGGGAAUAAUUGAUUUUUAGUGUCACAUAAGAACUUUUGGAUCAUUCUGUAUAAUGCUUAUAUAUCCUAUUGUAAUCGCUAAAGUAAAAAUAAGAAAGUGAGAGAGAAUGAGAGAGAGAGAGAGAGAGAGAGAGAGAGAGAGAGAAAGAGAGAAAGAGAGAUUGCUCGUUAAGUGUGACACAGAUGCGGGCUACUUUGUACAUACAUAUAUACGUACAUACAUGCAUACAUACAUAAAGCGUGAAAAAAAAUGUGAUUUUACUUUUACAUGACCAGUGCUGCACAUACACAUACACACAAAUGCACGAACAUACACACAUACACUAAUUACACAGGAGCACUCAUUUAAUCCGCGAGGAUAUGUGAUUUUACUUUUAAGACCAAUCCGUGCUAAGUCGUUUUUUACAGUUAGGAAUUUCUCCGAUAGGAGGGCCAGUAACGCAAAAAAAAUAAAAAUGAAGAAGAGAAGAUGAAAAAAAAAAACGUAUCAUACUCCCGUUCACUUUUAAGGAUCCGCUUGUUGUGCCUAACUUGCGCGUCGAUCAAAAAAAGUGACCAUUAAUAAAUAAUAAAUAAUAAUAAAUAAUAAUAAUAAUAAUAAUAAUAAUAAUAAUAAUAAUAAUAAUAAUAAUAAUAAUAAUAAUAAUAGGAAUAAGAAUAUACUAAGAAAUCGUCUUAAAGACGUUCUUGUAAAAGAAAAUAAAAAGAGGAAUGAAAGAGAGCGGCGGUAAGAGUUGGGGCAAAAUAGAAAAGAGAGGAUUAGUAAGAAGAAUCAAAUUUUCUUACAGAAUGAGAAAAAUUGAAAAGAAAAAUAAAAAAAAAAAAAAGAAAUAAAUAAAAAACAGGGAAGUCAAAGUUGUGAUGGAUCGUUUCGUGAUAUUUCACGUGAAAGAUAAAUACGAACGUGACCCCGUAUAAAUUCGCUUUAUUCGUUGAAUUUUGCGUGUGUUGUUAGAGAUACGCCGAUAGGGGGCCGAGCGUAUUAUUAUUGUAAUAAUCGGUGAAUUUAGUAGAAAUAAUUAGGCCCAGAGACUUUAUAAAUGUGUUGAAAUUUCACGUAGUAACACAGUCGUCGUAGAUUUACUAUCUCGUGGCAUAUCGUUAUUAGUGGAGGACGCCUCUGUAAACGAAAAAAAAAAAAAAAAAAAAAAAGAAAGAAAGAAAGAAAGAAAAAAAAAGAUAUAAAUUUUUGAUUAUAAAACGACGAAGAAAUUUCUUUAUUAAUUUUUUUUUUGUUUCGUCUUCUCGAUCUAAUUCGUCGUAAUUAAAAACACUUUCGUAUACAGUGUAUUAUAUUAAUCGAGAAAUUGAUUGAUUUUUUUUCUCUAAUUGUGGCACUAAAAGAAAAGAAAGAAAGAAAGAAAGAAAUGAAAUUAAUCGAUGAAAAAUCACACUUUCGUAAUUUUUAGGAAUCAAUCAUUCGAAACGUUCGAGCGGUCUUCCUCGUGUCGUUUUUCUCUUUUUUUUACUUUUCUCUUCGAUUCUCUUAUUUUUGUAUCCCUUUUUUUUUUGUUUUUUUGAUAAUAGAAUCGUUAUAACUCGUAUAACUAAGAAAAAAAAAAUAAAAAUAAAAUAAUAUUAUAAUUUUCUUCGAUUAAAUACAAUUUCGUUGAAGAACGAACGACGAUGACGACGACAACGACGACGAUGACGAUGACGAUGACAAAGACGAUAAAGAGUAAACGAGGCAAGACCGCUUUCGUUUAUAAUCUAUCGAAUACUAUUAAUCUAUAUAAGAUUGGGCUGCUGUAUUUUUACACGGACUUUGUACAAAUAACAAAAGCCGUAAAGGUGACGCCUUUCCGUGCGACGUGUAUAUAUAUACCUAUGUACUAAUAAAUAAUGGGCGAAA